CGCUGGCGGCGUGCUUAACACAUGCAAGUCGAACGGAAAGGCCCUGCUUUUGUGGGGUGCUCGAGUGGCGAACGGGUGAGUAACACGUGAGUAACCUGCCCUUGACUUUGGGAUAACUUCAGGAAACUGGGGCUAAUACCGGAUAGGAGCUCCUGCUGCAUGGUGGGGGUUGGAAAGUUUCGGCGGUUGGGGAUGGACUCGCGGCUUAUCAGCUUGUUGGUGGGGUAGUGGCUUACCAAGGCUUUGACGGGUAGCCGGCCUGAGAGGGUGACCGGCCACAUUGGGACUGAGAUACGGCCCAGACUCCUACGGGAGGCAGCAGUGGGGAAUAUUGCACAAUGGGCGGAAGCCUGAUGCAGCAACGCCGCGUGCGGGAUGACGGCCUUCGGGUUGUAAACCGCUUUCGCCUGUGACGAAGCGUGAGUGACGGUAAUGGGUAAAGAAGCACCGGCUAACUACGUGCCAGCAGCCGCGGUGAUACGUAGGGUGCGAGCGUUGUCCGGAUUUAUUGGGCGUAAAGGGCUCGUAGGUGGUUGAUCGCGUCGGAAGUGUAAUCUUGGGGCUUAACCCUGAGCGUGCUUUCGAUACGGGUUGACUUGAGGAAGGUAGGGGAGAAUGGAAUUCCUGGUGGAGCGGUGGAAUGCGCAGAUAUCAGGAGGAACACCAGUGGCGAAGGCGGUUCUCUGGGGCCUUUCCUGACGCUGAGGAGCGAAAGCGUGGGGAGCGAACAGGCUUAGAUACCCUGGUAGUCCACGCUGUAAACGGUGGGUACUAGGUGUGGGGUCCAUUCCACGGGUUCCGUGCCGUAGCUAACGCUUUAAGUACCCCGCCUGGGGAGUACGGCCGCAAGGCUAAAACUCAAAGGAAUUGACGGGGCCCCGCACAAGCGGCGGAGCAUGCGGAUUAAUUCGAUGCAACGCGUAGAACCUUACCUGGGUUUGACAUGGAUCGGGAGUGCUCAGAGAUGGGUGUGCCUCUUUUGGGGUCGGUUCACAGGUGGUGCAUGGCUGUCGUCAGCUCGUGUCGUGAGAUGUUGGGUUAAGUCCCGCAACGAGCGCAACCCUUGUUCACUGUUGCCAGCACGUUAUGGUGGGGACUCAGUGGAGACCGCCGGGGUCAACUCGGAGGAAGGUGGGGAUGACGUCAAGUCAUCAUGCCCCUUAUGUCCAGGGCUUCACGCAUGCUACAAUGGCUGGUACAGAGAGUGGCGAGCCUGUGAGGGUGAGCGAAUCUCGGAAAGCCGGUCUCAGUUCGGAUUGGGGUCUGCAACUCGACCUCAUGAAGUCGGAGUCGCUAGUAAUCGCAGAUCAGCAACGCUGCGGUGAAUACGUUCCCGGGGCUUGUACACACCGCCCGUCAAGUCAUGAAAGUUGGUAACACCCGAAGCCGGUGGCCUAACCGUUGUGGGGGAGCCGUCGAAGGUGGGACUGGUGAUUAGGA
rnacentral:rRNA from 1 species